rnacentral:rRNA from 1 species
ACGGGAGGCAGCAGUGGGGGAUAUUGCACAAUGGGGGAAACCCUGACCCAGCAACGCCGCGUGAAGGAGGAAGGCCUUCGGGUUGUAAACUUCUUUUACCAGGGGCGAAGAAAGUGACGGUACCUGGAGAAAAAGCAACGGCUAACUACGUGCCAGCAGCCGCGGUAAUACGUAGGUUGCAAGCGUUGUCCGGAUUUACUGGGUGUAAAGGGCGUGUAGGCGGAGCUGCAAGUCAGAUGUGAAAUCCCGGGGCUCAACCCCGGAACUGCAUUUGAAACUGUAGCCCUUGAGUAUCGGAGAGGCAAGCGGAAUUCCUAGUGUAGCGGUGAAAUGCGUAGAUAUUAGGAGGAACACCAGUGGCGAAGGCGGCUUUCUGGACUGUAACUGACGCUGAGGUACGAAAGUGUGGGGAGCAAACAGGAUUAGAUACCCUGGUA